AUGUGUACCACCGGAAAUAAACAUGCAUUUUUGUCAACAUAUCGAGGCAAUUGUAUCAUCUGAAUUGCGAGGUCAGUAAAAGGAUCCAAUUAUUAUUUUAUUCUGGUUGCCAACAAUGACCUCUGCCCAUACAAUUUCACAGGAACAAGAUAACAAAGUUUUCAGUUUGAAUCUGAUAUGUUGUAUGGUCUGAAGAAGAUCUAUCUAGGUUGGAACCAGACACCAUUAAUAGUACAUCAUCUGUUUUUGUGAUCAAGACUGUUUAUUUUGUCACAAUUUAAUUUAGAUCACUGUUGUUCUAUAUACACUAUCAAAACCUGAACUUCAUAUUUCAAUAACAACUCAAUCCAGCAAGUUUG